rnacentral:lncRNA from 1 species
CCCAGAGACUUGAGCGCAGCAGCAGGAGGGCCUGGCAGGAGAGGGCAGGGCUGGGCAGCCCGAGGACUCCAGCGGGGUGGCCCAAAGAGAGGAGGCUUUCCGGCAUCCCCGGCAUGGCCUAUCCCCUUUGUCCUGCCUGCCCUCUGGACAGAGAGAGACUCAUUAUCCAGUUAGAUGCUAGGCGGUAAGAGGAGGAAGCUAAUUGUGCUAGCGCUAGCUAAUUAAUGCUGCCUUUCCUAUUAACAUUCUUUGGAGUGCUCCAUUUCAAUUAGAUGAUCUGUCCAGGAAGAGAGGCUGUCGUCAGUCCAGAGAAAGUAAGCAAGAGGAGGUGACGGAAGGAGGGAAACAGAGACAGAGACAGAGGAAAAGAGGAGAGAGACCGAAGGGAGAGUGGAAUGGUGGGGGAUGAGGGAGAGACUGAGAUGCAAAUAGGGAAACAAAAGAAGAAACAGAAAGGAAGAAUGACUGAGGAUGAGGGGGAGAGGAGGGGUGCGCAGCAGAAGACUUGCAAGAGAGAGGCCUGGAAGGGGUGGGAAUUGCUCCUGUAAUAUGCAAGAUUCGUAUUAAUGAAAUAAUUAAACUUCCCAUUUGCAACGCCCUAACACGAGCCUGCCAGCUUGCCGAGGGGAUGGUAACUGCUCUGAGUCCCGAUUUGUAUUCGCACUGGAGGCAGCUCAGACUCACCCAAUCUCCAAAGGGAAAAACCAAGUCUGCAUGUGGAGGCAAGGCUGCCAAAAUCACCAGCCCACCCAGAUUCAAGGGGAAGGAAUGCAGGCAUUAGGAAAUAAAGGAAGAUGCAGCUUCCUUCUGGCUCUCUUCGGACGCUCAUCCUUGGGAUCAGCCACUGUGUUACGAGAAUGUCCAAACUAGCCCAUGCGGAGAGAUCACUCGUAGGACUUCCUGCUGACAACCAACCUGACAGCCAGCAUCAACCACCAUGUGAUGUGAGCAUGUGAGCGACGCUGCUGCAGACAAUUCCAGCCCCCGGUCAUUGAGUAACCACUAGCCUUGAAGUCUUUCCAGCCGAGGCCCAGAUACCACAGAGUAGAGCUCAGCCAUCCUCUCCUGUGCCCUGUCCUGACCCGCGGAAUGCACGAUAGUUAUUAUACAUCUCUACACUCCGGGAUGUUUUGUUACAUAGCAAUAGCAACUGCAACAAUUGCAGUGAAGCCUUGUUCUGUAUGUGUGGCUCCAUGCCCUGCAGACAGCAUUUGCUGGAUUUAAG